rnacentral:rRNA from 1 species
AGCGAACGCUGGCGGCAUGCUUAACACAUGCAAGUCGCACGGAUCUUUCGGGAUCAGUGGCGGACGGGUGAGUAACGCGUAGGGAUCUAUCCAUGGGUGGGGGACAACUUCGGGAGACUGGAGCUAUUACCGCAUGAUACCUGAGGGUCAAAGGCGCAAGUCGCCUGUGGAGGAACCUGCGUACGAUUAGCUAGUUGGUGGGGUAAAGGCCUACCUAGGCGAUGAUCGAUAGCUGGUUUGAGAGGAUGAUCAGCCGCACUUGGACUGAGACACGGCCCAGGGUCCUACGGGUGGCAGCAGUGGGGAAUAUUGGACGAUGGGCGAAAGCCUAAUCCAGCAAUGCCGCGUGUGUGAAGAAGGUCUUCGGAUUGUAAAGCACUUUCGACGGGGACGAUGAUGACGGUACCCGUAGAAGAAGCCCCGGCUAACUUCGUG